rnacentral:rRNA from 1 species
UACGUAGGGUGCAAGCGUUAAUCGGAAUUACUGGGCGUAAAGCGUGCGCAGGCGGUUAUGUAAGACAGAUGUGAAAUGCCCGGGCUUAACCUGGGAACUGCAUUUGUGACUGCAUGGCUAGAGUUUGGCAGAGGGGGGUAGAAUUCCACGUGUAGCAGUGAAAUGCGUAGAUAUGUGGAGGAACACCGGUGGCGAAGGCGGCUCUCUGGGCCGAUACUGACGCUGAGGAGCGAAAGCGUGGGGAGCGAACAGG